rnacentral:rRNA from 1 species
GAUGAACGCUAGCGGCAGGCUUAAUACAUGCAAGUCGAGGGGCAUCAAGGUACACGAAAGUGUAUUGUUGGCGACCGGCGGACGGGUGAGUAAUAGGUAGGUAACCUACCUCAUACUGAGGCAUAGCUGGGAGAAAUUCCAGGUAAUUCCUCAUGAGGUUAUAUGACACAUGUGAUAUAAUCAAAGGUAUCGCAAGGCACUGGUAUGAGAUGGGCUUACUGACCAUUAGCUAGUUGGUGAGAUAAGAGCUCACCAAGGCGAAGAUGGUUAGGGGUUUUGAGAGAGAGAUCCCCCACAUUGGAACUGAGAUACGGUCCAGACUCCUACGGGAGGCAGCAGUAGGGAAUAUUGGGCAAUGGGCGGAAGCCUGACCCAGCCAUGCCGCGUGAAGGAAGACGGCCUUAGUGGGUUGUAAACUUCUUUACUAUGCGACUACUAGAUUUACGAGAUAAUUCUAUAGAAUGUAGCAUAGCAAAAAG